GCUUUGUUGCUACCGGCUUAGCCAACUUAUUCCGACCACUCCUAAAGCGUCAGCCGUUCCAGCAAAAGCAAUUACAUGCCCCUGCCCUGAAAGCGAAGUGGAGAGGUUCUCUCUUUAAAGUGUGUAAAAAAUCCCUCCUAGUUUAAUUAUGUGGUGCUGGGUGGAACCUGGAGGCUGCUCUCUCCUGCCCUGCUUCAACAUAAGAGCCUUUUCCAUGGCAAGAGCAUGCAACAUGUUGGUUCCCACAGAGGGAUCGGAAGCACGGCGGAUCCCAAAAAACCAGGGUUACAGCAUUCCUGGAUCUGCAAGAAAGCAUGGUGACCUAAUCGCCUGACCACCUACCACUCCGUGCCAAAUCCCGAGCAGCAGGCCAGACACCCCUGAGAGUAACAUCCGACUGCACCAUGAAAUAUUACGUCAGGAGUGAGUCACUGGACACUGAGCCUGGGUUAGAGCAGCUUUACGUGCUCACAAACACAGGAGCUCUGAUCAGACUGCAUUCAGCCUCUGAGUAAACUCUAUCACUGAGAGGAAAUUUGUCACUCCUGGCAGACUUUUUACGAAGUUUCGUAAUGUUGUUGUGCGUUUCAUCCAAAGUUUGAGGAAGUGGAAACUGUUUUUUUUCCCUAACAUUCAAAAAGUCUUGUAAACAAGAGUUUAAUACGUAAUUUUAUAGUUAUGUAAAAUUAAUGAGCCAUGUAACAACUACAUGAGUUAUAAAAAUUUGCCAUUAUGAAUAAUAACUUAAAGGAUUUCAUCCAACUAACUGUCAAGUAUUUCAAACUGAUUUAUUUUCCUCUCAGAGGGAGAAACCUGUAUCAAACGUCUUCAAGUCCAUCACAUUACACUGAAAUUUCUUUGACAAACGCUUCCUCCUCAUUUUGCAUCCAGAUGUUUUGCCAUGUGGAUUUUGGAAACAAAUUUUCCCUCUGACAAAUAACCAAGCUGGAGACCCUGAGUUAGAUAAACAAAUUUGUCUCUCCUAAUAAAUCAGUUCAUGUUGGUUUUAUUACUGUUUUGACGUGUGAGGCAAGCACAUCAUCAGUCAGUGUGUGCAGAAAAACUCAACGAGUGAAAGAGAGAGAGAGACUGUGACCACUGACCGGUUUUCUUUCCUGCCAUGUGUGUUAAAUAUACUGUUUUAAUUUGCCGGUGUUAUGUCAUCAACUGAUGCUAACACUGUCAACACCAUCAAUGAUUGUUCUUCAAUCAGACGGAUUUGUGGUGUCUCAACCAUCUUCGUUAUCCUUAAAGGACGAUGCACACUUAGUGAUUGAACCUUGCCUGCGUGGCAAUGCUAGAGAGAAGAUAAAAACUCAAAUAUAAGGACAUGUGUUGGGCAUGUUGCUGAAAAUUUUUAAAAAGCUGCUAUUACAAGCUUAUAAAUAUAUAAAACGCUCAACGGGGAUUGCUAAUUAACUCCUUGAAAGCAGCACACAAUACAUGUAAUAGCAUAUGAUAUAAUACAAAUUUAAAGGGCUAUUCCAGCAUAAAAUUAAGUUAGGGUCAAACACACAGUAACGCCGAGUUAGACACCAAGUCGAGAGAUGAAUGUUGCCGACCGCUUGCUCCUGUAGUUAUAUCAACUUUAGUAAGUAAUAAUCAUAAAUGUUCUUCUUUAGGUUCGCCUGCCCCUGCUGCAGUCGAUGGACUCGCCCGGAGGUCUCCGUACAAACAAGCGGCUGCUGGAAGAGAGAGGGUGAGUUGUGUUUAAUCUCUUUGUUAAAGAAAUUAGGCAAAGUUAAAAAGAUGUUUGGUGGCUAGUACUAUGUCUGAGACCCUAUAUGUCCUGUUGAUAAAGUUAGAUGCUGUUCUGAGCAUAAUUUGUGGCUAUAGAGUUGCCUUUUGGUUGAGCACGUGGCUCUCUGUAUUGCUAUCUGCGGUCUUUACUAAAGUUGGUAUAACUAGAGAAGCAAGCAGUCGGCAACAUUCAUCUCUUGUCGGGGUGUCUAACUCGACAGAAUGCAAUACAACACUGCAUCAUGGGAUAAGGAGCAUUGUUGCAGUGUGAUGUGAUACAAUAUGAUACGAUACAACCAUAAAAAUACAUGGUAUGAUUCAUGAUAAGCGGCUGUGUGGUAUAAUAUAACAAAAUAAUAUCACACUGCAACACUGUUUACUGGUUUAAUUCAAAGGUCAGUGGAAAAGCAAGGCAGCUGUGUCUCACUAUUAAGUCUUGACUGAUUUAGCUGGAUAUGUAUUAGUCCACACCCUAACAACCAGGGCGGCUAUUACCAACAAAAUAGUCAAAUUUGACAAAAACAGUGGUUAAUCAUCGACUGAGCCAUUACUUGCUGUUUUUAGUGGCAAAACCAAGCUCUGGGCUGUGAUAUGAGAGUUAUGAUUCAUUAUGUACUUUGUUCAAAGCGAGUCAGCUGAAAACCUUAUCUAUUUUUUUUUUAAGUAUAGUUGAAGGGUUUAGUUAGGGUGACCACACGUCCUCUUAUACCCGGACAUGUCCUCUUUUUUGGGGGGGCUCUCUGGCUUGUCCAGCGUUGUCAGGAGGAGUUUCUAAAAUCCUUCAAAUGUCCGGGGUUUGUAAAGAAGUUUUGAGUUUGUGUCAUGUGGACUUACAGAGUUAGAAGCCCAUAAAAAACGCUUGAUCCAACCUGAAAAACUCAAAAUUAAGUGCAUGUGACUCUGUGACUCAAUCCCUGCGUAGUCGUGUCCUUUUUUUGGGGAUUCAGAAUAUGGUGUUCCUAGUUAAAUCAUUUUAUAUUUCUUUAUUUGAGAAGCAGUCAACUGAUAAAUGUUUUAUGCCAAUAGAAGGAGCUGAUGUUAGCUCACAAAAUUCUGCUUUUAAAUCAAAAGAAUCUGCUCUGAUGUGUAUCUGGCUCAGAGAUAGAAACCUACCUCUCUCUUUCUUUAUAAGGAAAUGUCAUGUCAAAACACUUGAUGAAGUCAGAACUCACCAAGUAGAAAUAAAACCCAGGAUCAAAAUAUCUUCUGAAAAUCUUCAUUUUACUGCCAAAUGUUUUUUAAUAGGUCAAGUAUUUUGUUUCUUUUCUGUCUCUACCCCGUCGUCGCCUCUCCUGUUGCCCAUGGUUCGCCCACACAAGGGAUGUUAGCAUAGUCCGACUGCUUGGAAUUCCUUCCUGCUGUCUUGGGAGCACACACUGCAUUUUAAAACUUGUUGGGCCCUUUCAAGUUUUAUUUGAAAGUAUGUAAUUACAUUCUCGCAGGAAUAAGGGGUUCCUGGAGUGAUUUACAUGCUGUAUUAAAUGUCACAGUUUUUUAAAAGAUGAGCUGUUGACACACAGCUGUUUAAGAACGUAUUGAUAGCCUGUAAUGAUAAGACAGCUUUGGGCAAUAAAUAGAGAUGUAGUGAUAUAAUGUGGAGGAGUGGUAGAAAUGAGGGCGGACUCCACCUGUGGUUUGUUUUUGACUGUUUUUUGUUUUGUUUGUGUUUCAUGAGAUUAAACCAAUAAAUCAUGCAGCCAAUUUGUUUUUUAUACUUUUGCCUUUCAGUUUCAAGCGAAGUUUGAUAAGUUAGUGCAUGACUUUAAAUCAGAUUAGGAACAUUUGGUCUACCGCAUUGCCUUUUAUUUAAUUAUGGUCUAUUCUGGUCAACUUCCAUCCAGUCAAGUCUAAUCUAUCUCCUUCUCGAGCACCACUACAUAGCACUCGUGCGGUUCUCUAUCACAGCACCACUGCUGGAGAAUUUAUUUAGCUGCCCGUUAGGCCUGGCCCUCUUGGGGACGGCGGUGCGGACAAAGACAGCUCCCCUCUCAGAUUAAAGGAGUGUCUUCAAGUGCCAAUCCAAAUGGUGAUAAAAAAGCUUUUUAAUCCAUCAAGAAACCUUCCUGGUGUAACGUCCCCAGAGUCCAAGCGU